rnacentral:rRNA from 1 species
GGAGAAAAGCAGGGGAUCGCAAGACCUUGCGCUCAUUGAGCGGCCGAUGCCUGAUUAGCUAGUUGGUGAGGUAAAGGCUUACCAAGGCGACGAUCAGUAGCUGGUCUGAGAGGACGACCAGCCACACUGGGACUGAGGCACGGCCCAGACUCCUACGGGAGGCAGCAGUGGGGAAUUUUGGACAAUGGGGGAAACCCUGAUCCAGCCAUGCCGCGUGAGUGAAGAAGGCCUUCGGGUUGUAAAGCUCUUUCAGCCGGAACGAAACGGUCACGGCUAAUACCUGUGACUACUGACGGUACCGGAAGAAGAAGCACCGGCUAACUACGUGCCAGCAGCCGCGGUAAUACGUAGGGUGCGAGCGUUAAUCGGAAUUACUGGGCGUAAAGCGUGCGCAGGCGGUUUUGUA